CCUACGGGGGGCAGCAGUGGGGAAUAUUGGACAAUGGGGGGAACCCUGAUCCAGCCAUGCCGCGUGUGUGAAGAAGGCCCUCGGGUUGUAAAGCACUUUCAGUGAGGAAGAACGCCUGGUGGUUAAUACCCAUCAGGAAAGACAUCACUCACAGAAGAAGCACCGGCUAACUCCGUGCCAGCAGCCGCGGUAAUACGGAGGGUGCGAGCGUUAAUCGGAAUUACUGGGCGUAAAGCGCGCGUAGGUGGCUUGAUAAGCCGGUUGUGAAAGCCCCGGGCUCAACCUGGGAACGGCAUCCGGAACUGUCAAGGUAGAGUGCAGGAGAGGAAGGUAGAAUUCCCGGUGUAGCGGUGAAAUGCGUAGAGAUCGGGAGGAAUACCAGUGGCGAAGGCGGCCUUCUGGACUGACACUGACACUGAGGUGCGAAAGCGUGGGUAGCAAACAGGAUUAGAUACCCUGGUAGUC
rnacentral:rRNA from 1 species